AAGUCGUAACAAGGUUUCCGUAGGUGAACCUGCGGAAGGAUCAUUACCGAGGAAGUUGGUUCGCCGUACCCUGUACGGCUCCGGAGCCGCUCCCCAACCCAUUGCCUAUUCAACCCCCCGUUGCUUCGGUGGGCCGCCGGGGCGCGUCACGCGCCCCGCCGUUGGCCUCAUCCUGGGGCUCUCGAGCGCCCGCCGGAGGUGAUUCAAAAGAACUCUGCGUACAACCAGCGCUCUGAGAGGGAUUAUAUUACGAAUGCUUCAAAACUUUCAACAACGGAUCUCUUGGUUCUG
rnacentral:misc_RNA from 1 species